rnacentral:rRNA from 1 species
GGGUGCGAUCAUACCAGCACUAAUGCACCGGAUCCCAUCAGAACUCCGCAGUUAAGCGCGCUUGGGCGAGAGUAGUACUAGGAUGGGUGACCUCCUGGGAAGUCCUCGUGUUGCACCCC